rnacentral:lncRNA from 1 species
UCUCAGUGUCUUAGAGCCUCAGUGUCUCCACCUAAUAAUAAAAAAUGAAAUUUCAACAAAGAGCUUUGCUUUUACAUGAAAUAGUGCCUAGAAAAUAACUUGGCAAAAUAGAAAACCCUAUACUAACAUGUUAUUUUUCUAGGUAAUUGGUAAACACAGCCAAAAAAAUUAAUAAUUACAAUAUAAUAUUCUACAACAUAGGUAGAUAGUGUUAAUAUACUAGUAAACCUUGACUCACCAAAUACAUGUUCUUGUUUUUGUGGUGCUGGGGAUUAAACCCAGAGCUUCACACAUGCCAAACAAGCACUCUAUCAGUGAGCUAUCCUCCCAGCCCUAUAGAAUUUUUAAUAACUAAAACAUACUAAGCUUACUGGCAUAGCUAACUAUUUUUUUAAAGCUAUAUUCAAAAAGUGUCCAAGGCUAAUCUGGCAAAGAAUCCAUGGCACAAGAGAAGGCAGUUUUGUGUGGAAUUCCAAGUCCUCCAGGGACCUUCAACCUGUCACUCUCCUGUGCAGUUUGAAAGGUGAUUGCAAUGUACAUCUGUGCUCUGCAACCUCUCUUCACUGCAAUAGGAGAUCAUUGAGGAGCUGCUCUUUGGAAAAUGUGAUAUUGUUUGGGAAAACUGGUUGUUUUCCCACUCUGAUGACAUUGUAUUUUCCAACUUCCUAAUAUAGAACUAUGUUCACAACUGUUAGAGGCCUUCAGGUUUUAGUAAAUUUUAUGAAAAGUAAAACAUUGUAUAUUUAAAGUUUAUGUGUAAUUACUCUCCUCUACUAGUAGGUCAGUUGAUAGAGUACUUUCUGGACAAUAAACAUGUAUUUGUAGCAAGGAAACUGGCCUAAGCAGAGUGACCUGGUGACAGGAAGGAAUUAGUGUUUGUUCUUAAGUUAUCUGAAUUGGCUACCUAAACUGGGCUGGAUUCAUUAGAUUCUUGCCUGAUAGUUUCUUUCACUUUUGCUGCAUAGCUACACAAUGCUAUGUUUCUUCCUAGAAUGAAGAAAACACUGAAUUUAUAUUCAGAGGCUCCUCACACUUAACAUCCCUUACAUAUUCUUUUUAAAGUGUGUACAUUGAAGUAAGUUACAUAUAUCAUGGGUAGCUAUUUCCUUAACAUGUUGUUAUUUCUAUUGAUCUAAGAUUUACUUUGAAAUUAUUCAGGGACAGUAAAUGUCUGUUCUUAACCCUGCAAAUGUACAUGUAAGCUUACGAACACAAGCAAUCCAGAGAAAAAUGUAGUCAAGGCUCUGUCACAAAAGAGAGUAGAAAUUACUGUGAAGUCUAAAACACAGGGGAGAGAGCUUAGAAGCUUGAAGGAAAACACUUGAGUUCUAAGCUAUGUGCUGACACUUGCUAUUGGGUUGGUGUGGGUUACUUUACUUCUUG